ACGGGAGGCAGCAGUGGGGAAUAUUGGGCAAUGGAGGCAACUCUGACCCAGCAACGCCGCGUGAAUGAAGAAGGCCUUCGGGUUGUAAAGUUCUUUAAUUGGGGACGAAGAAAGUGACGGUACCCAAAGAAUAAGCCACGGCUAACUACGUGCCAGCAGCCGCGGUAAUACGUAGGUGGCAAGCGUUGUCCGGAAUGACUGGGCGUAAAGGGAGCGUAGGUGGCGCAACAAGUUAGGAGUGAAAUCCCGGGGCUUAACCCCGGAACUGCUUUUAAAACUGUUGUGCUUGAGUGAUGGAGAGGAAAGCGGAAUUCCUAGUGUAGCGGUGGAAUGCGUAGAUAUUAGGAGGAACACCAGAGGCGAAGGCGGCUUUCUGGACAUUAACUGACACUGAGGCUCGAAAGCGUGGGGAGCAAACAGGAUUAGAUACCCUGGUA
rnacentral:rRNA from 1 species